AGCUGCCGCCAAGCCCCCAGCCCUCGCCUCCGCAGACCAGCGAAGAUCGCGCGAAUGAAUCAAUGGAUACCUCGGCACCCAAUCUAGAGACACCCUCUCUUUCUGCGGCAGGUCCUGAAGAAUCUGCUGCUAUGGACGUCGCCCCUCCCGUUCAGAUGCCGGAAGAAACUGCUCCGAGUAUUGAAGUCAAUUAAAUUAAUACUCAAGCCAUGUUUGUUUAAGAUAUUAGACUCGGUAAUGAUACAAGUCUUAGUAAUAGGUGUAUGUAGUUCAAUUAUGGUAAGCUUUCAUAACUACCUAUAUCCACUUCAGACUCCAAAAAAGCAUGACAAAGUUGACAAGAAAUUCAAUAUUUUCCAAAUUAACCAUUUUUCAGGCCAAACUAAUCUAUAAGGUUUUCCUAAAAAAUCCAAAUAUAGUCCCAUAAUCCACAUAUCCUGAAAGUGCAAUCUAAUUUGAAUCUUAAAUCGGAAUGCUAAAGUUGAAAUUCUAUUGGCGCGUAUAUUGUCAAUAAAUCAUGCUAUGCCUGGAAAUGGGUUAGAGUCAGACCAAGCCAAGUUCGCAGCGAUUUUGAUAGUCCAGGUCCAGACGGUGCAAGUAUGAGUAAACUAAAUAAUUUCAUAGAAGUUUGACGUUUAUUAUAUUGGUUAGCUUGGUCUGACUAACAAUUUUUACCAACCCUAUUUGCCGAUCGAAAAUGCGUGCAAUAGUUAUAUAUCCGUUCCCGGCCCACUAUAGCAGGGGUUUAGUUUUUGUGAAUGUUUUACAAUUUAUUUAUUUUUUAUGAAAUUAUAUUUGAUUCAGCACGAUAUCAUAUCUGUCCCACCUCGCUAAACAAUCGCGCUAAUUAUUACGUACAGUCGCCAUCAGAUAUAUCGGAGCGGCCAAGGUAAUCACAAUAUCUGAACACGCACUCUAACGCCCUGACAAUAGAGGCGUGUUCAGAUAUUUGUUAGCGCCUUGACCGCUCCAAUAUAUCUGAUGGCGACUGUACAUGAGAGUAAGGUGCACAGUUUAAUACAUUUCCCAAUGUACAGUCACCUGCAAUAAUAUGUUAUUCUUCGAAGGCCGUAAACAUAUGUGACACGCUCUUAUGGCUGUACAAAUAAGAUCGUGUCAGAUAUUUUGCGGCCUUCGUUGUAUAACAUAUUAUUGCAGGUCACUGUAACAUGUGGUUGUCAAUGCGUGGUAGGGCAGAUCUGGAGUAAACAUUUUUGUACAGUCAACGGUAAAAAUAUUGGUGUAAACAACUUACUCAAAAAUAUGUCCCAUAGUUCUUAAUUCACUGACAUAAGAGUUAUGGGACAUAUUUUUGAAAUGAUUUGUACACCCAUAUUUUUACCGUUGACUGUACAGUGUGCUUUGCAGUUAUGACCUUAUGACUUUUUACGUAAUAAAAUAUAUAU